rnacentral:rRNA from 1 species
AGUCACUGACAUUAGAUACCCCUGUAGUCCAGGGUGUAAACGCUGCAGACUUGGUGUUGGGAACCCUUCGGGGGUGCUCAGUGCCGGAGAGAAGUUGUUAAGUCUGCUACUUGGGAGUACGUCCGCAAGGAUGAAACUUAAAGGAAUUGGCGGGGGAGCACCGCAACGGGAGGAGCGUGCGGUUUAAUUGGAUUCAACGCCGAAAAACUCACCAGCAGCGACUGUUACAUGAAAGUCAGGUUGAUGACCUUACUAGAUUUUCAG